ACAUAGGUAUCACAGUGGUUAGUGCUGUCUACCGGAAACAGAAAGUCGCAGGUUCAAUUCCCGUCCGAUGUC
rfam:Nippostrongylus brasiliensis genome assembly, scaffold: NBR_contig0000055